UACAGAGGUCUCAAGCGUUGUUCGGAAUUAUUGGGCGUAAAGAGCUCGUAGGCGGUCUGUUGCGUCCGCUGUGAAAACCCAGGGCUUAACCCUGGGCUGGCAGUGGAUACGGACAGACUAGAGGUAGGUAGGGGAGAAUGGAAUUCCCGGUGUAGCGGUGAAAUGCGCAGAUAUCGGGAGGAACACCGGUGGCGAAGGCGGUUCUCUGGGCCUUACCUGACGCUGAGGAGCGAAAGCGUGGGGAGCGAACAGG
rnacentral:rRNA from 1 species